GAGUUUGAUCGUGGCUCAGAUUGAACGCUGGCGGCAGGCCUAACACAUGCAAGUCGAGCGGAUGACGGGAGCUUGCUCCUUGAUUCAGCGGCGGACGGGUGAGUAAUGCCUAGGAAUCUGCCUGGUAGUGGGGGACAACGUUUCGAAAGGAACGCUAAUACCGCAUACGUCCUACGGGAGAAAGCAGGGGACCUUCGGGCCUUGCGCUAUCAGAUGAGCCUAGGUCGGAUUAGCUAGUUGGUGGGGUAAUGGCUCACCAAGGCGACGAUCCGUAACUGGUCUGAGAGGAUGAUCAGUCACACUGGAACUGAGACACGGUCCAGACUCCUACGGGAGGCAGCAGUGGGGAAUAUUGGACAAUGGGGGCAACCCUGAUCCAGCCAUGCCGCGUGAGUGAAGAAGGCCUCGG
rnacentral:rRNA from 1 species